GUGCCCAUAUCUGGAUAAAUUAGCCACCUCUAACCUCUGGCCAUCACCAGGACUGGAUCCUCAAACUUUGUGUGAGUGUGGAGGAAACAGGAGUGACUUGAAAAGGUCUAAAGAAGUACAAAUGCUGUUUUAAGAGAAGUUGCUUAAGUCUGUGGAAUGUUUCUUUAAUUUGGAGACAAGCUAUCACAUCACAUUGCCUAGGCAGCCUACAAUUGGAGGUUUAUUCCUGAGUCUGUAUGAGAAAGAGGGCUGAAAAUUCCGUGUUGGACAACCAAAUGGUGUGAUCAUAUAUGUGCUUUUGUGGGAAUUAAUGUGGCUAUAGGUUCUGAAACUGCAAUGGACUGAUGGGAAAAGAAGAAUGGGUUUUAAGGAAUGGAUGAGGAUGGCAAGAGAACACAUGUGACAUACAAGUAGAAAAAAGAGUCUUGAAGGCCAAGGGGCAUAGAGGAUGGGUGAGGAAAUGGAGGGAAGAAGGUCAGUCCCCAAAAAGGUAGAUAGA